rnacentral:lncRNA from 1 species
ACAGUAUAAGCGAAGCUGAAGUUUGAAAACACAUUACAGUUUGUUCCUUGGCUCUCAAACCCCCUCAGUUAAAAAUCCAGGCAAAAUUAUUAUACCCAAUACAGUAGCCAUCUGUAAAACCUCAGAACAGUAAACAAGGGGCAGGAAGAAAUGUCUCCAUCUCUCUUAAAUUGAAAAUAAGGAAAAACACUAGAGAAUCAGACUUUAGCUCUAUUAUGUAGGAAUAGUCAUGCAAAGAUCCCUCUUCUCUUCCUAAGGGGGAAAGUGCCUGCUGCUGGACACUGUAUAGGUAAAGACCUUAACGGUGCUCUAAGUGGGCACUUAAAACUUCGCCUGCAGAUAACUACUUCCUAGAGAUGGGAACUUAACUAGGAAGCAGUUUUUAAGACGAUCACUGAAAGGGUUCAGUUGGUCACAUGGAGCAUGGACAGUAGUCACAGGGAUACUCCAUCUGGAGGAUCGGGGUGAAAUAAGGGGCUGAUGAGGGAGCCAGGAAGAGUAAAACAUUAAAUCUGCUUAAAGUAGCUGACAAUGCUAUGCCUUAAGAAAAACAAAAAAGAGUAUUCUGCUACAAUGUGUCUGUAAGGCAAUGCUAAAAAGGUCGGAAAGAAAUCCAAUUUGAGUUUUUGGUUAGUGGCCAUAUGCAACUUCCCUUGAAGCUAUGCACCAGUGUGAGCGUAACGUCCUAGAGAUGUGAACACGUAGCCAUGUCAGACAUUUAUACCCUCUGUUCUAAAAGAAAUAUGGGAAAACAAAGUCAGUCCUCCCUCAAAUGCACCAACCGGACCGAUAGGAAAAGAACUGGAAAAUGCAGUUUCACCAAAGCAGACGGGGUGGACGUUCCUUUCCAUCAAACUGUCGAGGAGGGGGAGGGGGGCAUACAGAAUGGCCGGAGGGUAUUUUCUGGAAGCCAAAGAGAGAUUAAACGACGACUCCUACAUCCCCCCUGUUUAAGUGUUGCAACUAAUUCGAAUCCCAUUUUCUUCUUCAUGUUAAUUAUCUGGACUCCCUGAGUCCUUUGGAGCUCAGCUCCAGGUGUCCUGGAGAUUAGGAGCUCGAGAAGACGGGAAAUUUUGGAACAAUAACUAGUGGGAACUGUUUAUUAGAAGGGCCGAGGGUAGGUGGCUGCGUUUGGUUUUUUGCGGCAACCUUCUCUUUUGGAAAUAUUGUUUCUAACGAAAUCCCCGAGCACCUGGCUCUGUGUGCGUGGCUGUUUUCCCUCUGCGUGCCGUGUGGGGUGUCGGCUGCUUGUGCUUAGCACUGUUGCAAAUCUUCUGAUGGGCUGCACUUAGAAGGGGCUCUACCAGAAAACACGCACCCAAGUUGGUUUUGAGCUGUGGGGAGGGAGGUUGACAUUUUCCACGUGAAGUCGUCUCUCCUGGGGGAAAGAGCAGCGGGACGCGGGAGGAAGACGUCCCUCUCUCCCCACAGGUUCGGGAAGUUCCAGCAAAGGCAUUUCUGCCGCCGGGAGGUCUCUUCUGAUUCGUGUGGGGGCUGCUCCGAACAUCUGCGGGCGCCUCUCGGGGCGCACCGUCCGGGAUGUGGUGGGUGCGGCGCUGGAGGAACACGGCCGCCGCCGCCCCCUUCCCUCGGGUGGAGGGGCAGGUUGUUCGUGUGAACUCGAGCGAACGACUGGAGGUUGGCUGGUGCAGGUUCACUCCUUCAGGAUGUGGGUUUCAGGGGGCGUUUUGAUGUGAUUUAAUUCCGACCGUGAAACAAUUGCUAGGGGCUGGCAGGAUUGCUGUUGGUUUUUCCCCUCUUGGUGGCUUUGGUUGGUUGGGGUUGAGUUUGGGAGCGAACAGUGACUUGUUUUAUAUCAACACUUCCUUCUGCCCCGGAACGGAGGAGGGGGGGAGCGGAGACCGGCCUCGCACCCCCAGGGCCCCUUUGUGUGACUAAAUUUGGCAAGAAUAUGGAUCCGCGCCAGUCUUUCCACGUGUGCUCCCAGCUCCCAGCUGAGAAGGCCAAGGGUUCUCUUCCGGGAAAACCAGCUGGGCUAUUAAAGGCCCCUCUUCACACAGAGCAGAGCAAGAGAAGGCAGGUUUCAGAGCGAAUCGCUGUCUACCAUCAAAGCAGACGGGGUUCCACACAGACAUGAUGAAUAGAAGAUGAAAGUUGAUUU